AACGUAGGACGCAAGCGUUAUCCGGAGUUACUGGGCGUAAAGCGCGGGCAGGCGGUCUGGCCAGCCUGAUGUGAAAUCUCCUCGCUCAACGGGGAGCAGCCAUUGGAAACUACCAGACUGGAGUCUGACAGAGGUAGGCGGAAUUCCGGGUGGAGUGGUGAAAUGCGUAGAGAUCCGGAGGAACACCAGAGGCGAAGGCGGCCUACUGGGUCAGUACUGACGCUGAGCCGCGAAAGCGUGGGGAGCAAACAGG
rnacentral:rRNA from 1 species